AUGCAAGUCGAACGAUGAAGCAUUCUCCGGAAUGUGGAAGAGUGGCGAACGGGUGGGGAACACGUAAGAAUCUGCCCCUCGGUCGGGGACAACUCUUGGAAACGAGAGCUAAUACCCGAUACGCCGUGGAGUGAAAGAAUUUCACCGAGGGAUGAUCUUGCGUCUGAUUAGCUAGUUGGUGUGGUAAAGGCAUACCAAGGCGACGAUCAGUAGCUGGUCUGAGAGGAUGAACAGCCACAUUGGAACUGAGACACGGUCCAAACUCC
rnacentral:rRNA from 1 species